CCCUGACGGGUCCUGUACUGAGCUGCCCCGAGGCCCUCACUGUGCCCAGCUCGGGCCAGCUCAGUACCCGGCGCGUCGGGGU
ensembl:miRNA MIR486-1 microRNA 486-1